CGCGCCCUGGGUUCCGGGCGCGAACGUUCCCCACGGCCGGUCGUCGCGGCCCCGGAGCACGGGCGGCUGCGUGUUAACCGCUCCCAUCCCGAAGCGGGUUGGGAACCGGGCGCCUCAGGUGUUCUAACUCCCUGUUGGGCGGAGCCGGGCACAAGUCCACUCGGCCGAAACGUGAGAUUUCUCUGAAGUAACAAAUCAGCCACGGACACACGGGUCGGGCCAGCGCGUUUCCCGCCCGCCUCCCGGGGCGCCGCGGGCCGGGCUGAACCCGAGCUGGGCCGCCGCCCCGCCCCCCCCCCACCCCGUGUCGGCCGUGAACCUCCUGGGGGCUGAGGACGCGGCGCCCGAGGGAACAGGGGCCGGGAAUAUCCGAGGAGCAGCAAAACGACUGAGAUGGAAAAAAGAUGAGAAGAUCCCUGGGCCCUCCGUUCGGUCCAGUAAGAAAAGUGUAAUAGUUUCAGGAAGGGACCGCAGACAAGACAGAGGGGGAGAAUCAUCGAAGACAUUCAAGAAAAUCAGCAGAACUUCCCUGUUGGAGUGAGGACACAGCGAGAAGACGCGGUCCAUGAACCAGAACGGGGGCCCUCACCAGACAUCGACUCCGUUGAUCUUGGAUUUCCAGCCUCCAGAACCGUGAGAACUCAAGCCCCCCCCACUCCGUCUGUGGCACCUGUUACAGCAGCCCAGCUGGUGGACUCCGUCUCACCCCUGAGGUCGUCCGUCAGCGCUCCCAUCCCAUCCAUCAUUCCUGGGCUCAGUCGUGCAGACUCCCCUCCUUGCUUCCUGCCUUACCUCACAUCCAGUCCUGCUGGUUUCUCCUUCAGCAUCUUUCAGAAACCAGCCAUUUCCCACCAUCACCACUGCAACCAGCGGGCGGUGGGGAGGGUGCUGGGAAACCCUGGUCUCACACCCUGAUUACUAAAAUAGCCUCCUCCUGGCUUCCCUGCUUGCACCUCCCUGCCCCGUCAGUCUGUCCCCAGCCCAGCAGCUGGGUGUCCCAGUGACCACUCUUGUCACAUCCUAGCAUCCUGGACUCUGGGGUCCCCCACCUGGCAGACAGGAGCAGUCAUCCUGAGGAAGAUGAAACUGGGGGAAUAACUGGCACACAAUGGGAAAAGGAGCCUGAUCAGCAGCUGUGGCAAAUCCUUAUCAUCGCGCCACCACCUCUGCUGAAUAACCCAGGACCCCACAGCCUCCUGCAGCUCACGGCAGGCAGCUGGGUGUUUGUGCAGGUGCUGACGUGUCCCCAGAUCCUACCUUUGAAAAAUUGGAACACAAAACCAUGUGCACUAGGAUUUCCCACCGUGUACUCAGACAAGCUCAGAAGGAUGGGACAGCUUGAAGGAGGGAGGCACCUGUCUUCUGAAGAGACAGGCUCCUGGGAUCACCGCCGCUUUGGUCUCCCACGGCCACGUGUACGGUCAGGAGGGAGCGGCCCUGCAGGUAAAGUGCUGGGGCCGCCUGGCACGGCAGGCCCUAGAGCCAGGAGGCCACAGGAGAGACCCUGAGCAGGUGCUCGGUCAGUGGAAGUGGAAUGAAUGGGACGGCUUCUCCAGAAGGCAGAUGAGAGCACGCUGGCCUCCCCACCUGACAACUUGCCCCGAGGACCCCUGUCCACUCCCAACCCCCAGCCUUUCCCAGGGGAAACCCUUCCAGCUGGAGCACCCAGGAGACCAGCAAAACACAGAUGCGCUGGCAGCAGUGUUGUCAGGAGCGGAACUUCUGCAGACUGUGAGCACGGAGCUUCCCCUCACAGGGACGGCUGUUACACAAAGAAGGGGCUCGAGGGCACCGAGUCAGCCCCGGAUGCACUUAUGGAGGAUGUGCCUGUCAGAGCUGGGGUUAGGGUCAGGCAGCCCUUGGGUUCCGCCCUGCCUUUGGCCACCAGCCUCCACGACGGAGGUCCAGCCCCACUGGGCCCGCCUCCUGGUGUCCGUGCCCACAGAGUCCCAUCCCAGCUGAAGAGGGCUGACCUGGGCAGGAAUGUGAGUGACUCUGGGCAAGGUCGUGACCAGCACUGAGCUUCCCCCUGGCUCUCGGAUCGCUCACCCUGGGGGGAGCCCCGGGGAGAGGCCACACGGGAGGAGCUGAGGCCUCCUGCCCACAGCCGGGGGAGGAGCCUCCUUGGAGGCGGGUGGAGCCUCCAGGUGAAACGGGAGCCCUGCCGACACUCCAGCUACAGCCUCACUCGACUCUGAGCCAGGGCCGCCGGGCCGAGCCACUUCUGGGUUCGGGACCCACAGAAACUGUGAGAUAAUAAACGUGUUGUUGUAGCUGCUAAGUUUGGGAUGAUUUGAACAGAGCAACAGGGAGCCAUGACCCCGCUUCUGCUAGCUACAAUUGUAUGACAGCAGGCAAAUUAGUAUCUCUGAGUCUCAGCUUCUCACCCGAGAAUGAGAAUGCCUACCUGCAAUGGAUGUUAGAAAAAUUAAAUAAGCUCUUGGCAUUCGGCCUGGGAUACAGCAAAUGCUGAAAAACUAGCUGUCAUCAUUCUUAUGAAAUAUUUACAUAAAUAUGUCACAAGAUGCGAAGGGCUCAGGAAGACCUCACUUCAAACAGGUGGGUUCAAGGGAGGCUUCGUGGGAAAGUAAUGUCUGACUUGGCCCCCGAAGGAGAAGCAGGAUCUGGACCCGGGGAGACGGCGGGAAAGGGAGGAGGGUCCGCCGCGGGCAGUUCACGCUCGGCGUAACCUCGGGCAACAGGCGGUGGGACCGUGAAGGCUGGCUGGGGUCAGACCGGGGUGCUGGCGGGAAGUGAAGCCACUGGUUCUGAGUCAGCCCUGGGAAGGUGGCGAGAACCCCAGGCGUGGCCCCCCCGCACACAGGAGCAAAGCGGGAAGUCCACAUAAGCCACUUGUCUUGCUCUGGGGUUUGAUUUUGUGUGUCAACGUGACUGGGUUCAGGGAGGCCCAGGUGGCUGGUAGCACAUUAUUCCUGGGUGUG